rnacentral:rRNA from 1 species
AGUGAACGCUGGCGGUAGGCCUAACACAUGCAAGUCGAACGGCAGCACAGUAAGAGCUUGCUCUUACUGGUGGCGAGUGGCGGACGGGUGAGGAAUACAUCGGAAUCUACUUUUUCUUUGGGGAUAACUUAGGGACACUUACGCUAAUACCGCAUACGACCUACGUGUGAAAGCAGGGGAUCUUCGGACCUUUUGCGAUUGAAUGAGCCGAUGUCGGAUUAGCUAGUUGGCGGGGUAAAGGCCCACCAAGGCGACGAUCCGUAGCUGGUCUGAGAGGAUGAUCAGCCAGACUGGAACUGAGACACGGUCCAGACUCCUACGGGAGGCAGCAGUGGGGAAUAUUGAACAAUGGGAGCAAGCCUGAUCCAGCAAUACCGCGUGGGUGAAGAAGGCCUUCGGGUUGUAAAGCCCUUUUGUUGGGAAAGAAAAGCAGCAGGUUAAUACCCCGCUGUUCUGACGGUACCCAAAGAAUAAGCACCGGCUAACUUCGUG